rnacentral:lncRNA from 1 species
AUGCCCAGGAGACAUGAAGCUCCUGUUCUGAAUCUUGACAUCAGAAAGCACCAAACUCUUGGAGAAUCUAUAGAACAGCAAAGCAGCCAACUGAAGAAUCAGCAACAACAACGGCAACAACAAAACAGUGGAGAAGGACAUAGAGUUUUCUAUGUUUACUUACCCAGCUGUCUUUUUCUUUGAGCAACCCUCCGAAGACACCACACUGUUCUGCCUGGAGUGCACUGGCUGGGAUAUGCUAAAGACAGGUUACCUCCUGGAAGAAUAAUGCCACACAUGAUUGACACGACUUCCAUUUCUGAGCCCUGCCAACGUCGCCCGCCCCGGUGCAGCAAACACCAAAGAUGCAGCUGACAUGCUGAACUUAAACAAGUUCUGUUGCUUAUUCACUGAAUUAAGCCUACAUCUGCGGCUGUUAAAGUGGGGAAAAAGAUUAAUAAAGUACAUGUUGAAGCUUGAAAG